rnacentral:rRNA from 1 species
AUUGAACGCUGGCGGCAGGCCUAACACAUGCAAGUCGAGCGGAGCGGCGGACGGGUGAGUAAUGCCUAGGAAUCUGCCUGGUCGUGGGGGAUAACGUCCGGAAACGGGCGCUAAUACCGCAUCCUAUCAGAUGAGCCUAGGUCGGAUUGGCAAGUUGGUGGGGUAAUGGCCAACAAAGGCGACGAUCCGUAACUGGUCUGAGAGGAUGAUCAGUCAAACUGGAAUGGAGACACGGUCCAGACUCCUACGGGAGGCAGCAGUGGGGAAUAUUGGACAAGGGGCGAAAGCCUGAUCCAGCCAUGCCGCGUGUGUGAAGAGGGUCUUCGGAUUGUAAAGCACUUUAAGUUGGGAGGCGUUACCAACAGAAUAAGCACCGGCUAACUUCGUGCCAGCAGCCGCGGUAAUUC